UACGUAGGGCGCAAGCGUUGUCCGGAAUUAUUGGGCUUAAAGAGCUCGUAGGCGGUUUGUCGCGUCUGCUGUGAAAACCUGAGGCUCAACCUCGGGCUUGCAGUGGGUACGGGCAGACUAGAGUGCGGUAGGGGUGACUGGAAUUCCUGGUGUAGCGGUGGAAUGCGCAGAUAUCAGGAGGAACACCGAUGGCGAAGGCAGGUCACUGGGGCCGC
rnacentral:rRNA from 1 species